GUGUCUUUUGAAAGGAGAGGAGGUUAGCACUCCCCUUGACAAGGAUGGAAUUAUUUGACACGAAAAUGUCAUUUGUGCAAAACAACCCUUUCGGCCAAAAUGCAUUUUUUGACACAUUAUCUA